GAAGAAUAUAGGGAAAUAAACGCCUUCAUCUCUCUCUUGUCCCACCCGCAGAGCUCCUUCUGGGAUUCUCUAUUGGCUGAACUCAGCCAGAAGCUGCCAAGGGAGACCCCCACAACUGGAUGCAGCCCACUGAAGUCAGCUUCCUGGGGUGCGUAGCUGAAGGUAGCAGGGAGCAAAAAGAAUCUGAAGGGGAAGUGAACAAUGUAGAGCGUAUCUGUGCUGAAGACGUAAGGAGAGAGUGGAGGUCAGAAGCUGGCAUGGUCCCUGGUGCAUGUAUCAGCCGCUAAAGAAGUGGAGAGUAUGAACAUAAGCAAGAGGAAGUGAUGAGUAUCCCUUCCAGGAGAACUCUAAGAGGCAGUGAGUGAUUUGCUGGGCUCCCAAGCCCUCUGCUCUGAUGACAGCAAAGCCCCAAAUCAUGGUGCCUCCAUCAGUCGGGACCCCUCAGCAGAGCCAGCUUCACAGCUGGAGUGGAUGAAUCAGAACUUUCCCCAUGGGAGCAUUUAUAAAAAGGGGACACCCAGCGCAGAAGAUGUUUUCCAGGGAGAUCUCGGGGAGCCCAACAAGCCAAGAAGAGCAGAGCAAAGCAUUCCAAGGAAGGACUCUAAGUCUGCAACCGAGCACACACGAGGGUAGCCUACGCAUGUACGUCUUGCAGUGAUGGCAAGGAGCAGGAGAAAGAAAGCCCAUCCAAACAAGCAUAUUGGAAGCCUAUGUAUCCCAUAAGCUGACAUCUUGUUGCCCAAAGCAUGUCAUGUGCGUGGUCCAGAGUCAGUGUUGAAGGGCUCUGCAAAAUCACAUGGUAAAGACUGUGGUUUCAGGGAGGAGUGAAGAUUUGUGCGCAUUGCUCCAAUUGACAACCAUGGCACUAGGCUCAGGCCACACUUCUUCCUAACAAGAGAGCAAGUCAAAGCGUGGUUAGUUAAAGUCCAUACAAAAACUCACUUUAACAGGCCUCCUCUGGAUUGAACAGCUGAUAUUAAGUCAUAAGGUACCACAUCAGAAAGAUACUGGGUAUCUUUGGUUCAGCAAUUCCAUCACCAGGGACUUUUUCAUCCUAAGGAAAUCACUGCACGGUGGACAAAGAUAUAUGCAUAAGGAUGCUCCUUCUGGCCAAAGACCAAAAACAUAACUGGCCAUCAGUAAAAGCCAACACAAGGAAAGACCAUGUGAAUACACAGCAAGAACGUGGUGCUCUGCAAGUCAGAAACAGACCCGUCAUCAGACACCAAAUCAGCCAGCACCUUGAUCUAGGAU
rnacentral:lncRNA from 10 species